AUAUUUGCAUGUAACAGACAGGAGAGGACUCAGAUUCGCCUUUUCUCAGACAAAUUAGAGGAAACAGUACUCAUCCGCCAUGGCUGCUAACUAAGUUUUAUCCUUAUAUAGCCCUGCCAUGAAAGAGAGUGUUACCACAAUGUCUGGUCUAUUGACUUCUUAAGAAUCAUCAUUGUUUCCCAAUAAGAAGAAGAAGAAGAAGAAACAGAAAACAAGGAAGAUCAGAAAU
rnacentral:sRNA from 1 species